rnacentral:sRNA from 1 species
CUAAAAUCUACAAGGAGAGAACUAAGCUUUUCCAUGACAAGAGGAUCAUCACCAAGGAUUUCGAAGUUGUUGAUUAGAUGCUGCUAUUCAACUCUCGCUUGAAACUCUUUCCUGGAAAGCUUAAGUCUAAGUGGUCUGGUCCUUUCUGUAUCACUGAAGUCUGUCCUUAUGGAGCAGUCACUCUAGCUAGUAAGAGUGGAGAUUUCACAGUAAAUGGUCAAAGGCUCAAGAAAUACUAAGCAGAUCAAAUCCUCCCAGAGGUGACGUCGGUUCAUCUCCAGGAACUUCUAAAUGAUUAAAGGAGUAAAGGAGUCGAGCUAAUGACUUUAAACAAGCUCACUUGGGAGAAAGUCCCAUGACUAUCUCUGUAAAUAAAUUUUUUACUUCUUGUUAUUUUUCAUUUGUUUUCGUUGUGUUUAUGGUUCUCAGGAACAAAGAAACAACGUGGAGAUGGAGUAAAAAUUCAAAACUUUUACUCUACAGAAGGCCUGGAGAUCGAGUGUAUUGCCCAGUGGAGUGCAAAAUUUUUAAAACUUUCUGUUGCACCUGGAGACCAUGAAUUCGAGUAUAUCAGUCAAGUAUAUGUGAGGUUUAAAACCCAUAUUUUUUAAAUCAUCAUUAUACUCGACCAACAAGAGCUACAGAGACUUGUAGGGAGUUUAUCAAAUUUACAGAAGAUUUCCUAAAGUUUUCCCAGUCAACAGGGAACAAAGUCCAAAGACAAGUCAACAGAGUGUGGACCACGCGUUUUGUUCCUGAAGAAAAGAUGGAGAGAGAAUCACAUAAUCAAUCUCCACCACACCUUUUGAACUCGACCACACAUUCCCUAAAAGUAAAACCUACUCGACCCAUCUCUCUUCGUCUCUCCACCGACACUCCAAUUUCUCUACUCCACCACGAAUCGCCAUCCCUCACCAAAGAGCCAGUCGACUCAACUUCACUCGAGUUCGUCGCUAUACUCGACCAUUUCACUUCGCCGUUCGCCGUCACUUUGUUCUCACCAUACUCGACCUUCUCUCAGUCGCCAUAGUCGAGUUCCCCACCUCGUUCACCGUCGAAGUCUCAUGAACUACUCCAUUACAACCACAGGACUCGACCGUCGACUUAUGGUUUCGUCCCUACCAAUUCUGACUCACCGAAGAAGUACUCGACCUCUGGACUUCACCGGCUGAACUCGACCUCAAAAUUUCACUCGACCUCUGGUGCUAGCAAUCAACAGAGCCACUCAACUUCAGAGACUUUACUCGACCACCGGUCUCUAAUCUACUCGAUCCAAUUCGUGAUAGAGUAACUGGGGAGCACUUUAGUUUACUCGAGUAUUAUACUAUACUCGACCAAAUUGGUCCAUUUCAUUGCUUGUUGAUUACAAUUUUGGUUUCAUUGUUAUCUUUGAGACAGACCUAUUGACAUUUGAGUUUUGAGUUCUAAAUCUUCUGCAGGACAAUCAUGAGUAAUUAUAGUGGCAGUUCUUCAGUUGAUCCUGACUACAACAUGGAUGAGACAGAGUCGUCGUCUUCAAGGCCAGAGAGAGAACAUAGAGAAUAUGAUAGUUUCAGAAGAAAAGCUGAGAUAGCCCGAGGGAAGAGAGCAAUGACAAAGAGAUAUGAGCUUAUAGCUGAGGAUCUGGAAGACGAGUACAUGCCUGAGCAUACUCGAAGAGCCACCAAACUUCUGCAUAAACCUGAUGUAUUGUUUGUUGAGGAAUAUAUUAAGCUCUUCAAAUUGAAAGAGUUCUGUAGCACAAGGUAUUCAUGCUCGACCACACUCGCACAACUUGGAUUGCUGGAGGAUGUUCAGCACUUGUACUAGAGUUGUCAUCUGGACACUUUAAUGGCUUAUCCGUAUGUAGCAUAUGAAGAAGAAACGAUUCAGUUCCUCUCCACACUGCAAGUGGAGCUUUACCAAGGUAUGACCUUUGAUGAUUUGGAAUGCGAAGGAUUGGGAUUCUUGAGAUUCUCUGUGUAUGGUCAUGAGUAUAGGUUAUCAAUCAAGCGCUUGGAAGGAUUGUUUGGUUUCCCCAGUGGAACGGGUACUAAGCCCAAGUAUGAUAGAGAAGAGUUGAAAGAUUUAGGGAUCACCAUUGGCAACUCUGUACCGCUGAAUUCUUCCAGGUCAAAGAGCAAUCAGAUACGCAGCCCUGUCAUCAGGUACUUCCAGCGUUCUAUAGCCAAUGUCCUCUACUCCCGAGAGAUCAUAGGGAUUGUUACCAAUUCUGAUAUGGAGAUGAUCGAUAUGGCUCUCAAAGGCACUCUCCGCCAAACCAAGAACAAAAUGUCUCUCCAAGGUGAAAUCAAUGACACACCUCUCUCUAUACUUCUUCUGAUCCACAUGUGUGGAUACAAGAGAAGGGCUGUCAGCAAUAACCACAAGAGAGCACGAGGCGCUCUUUGCAUAGGCGGUGUUGUGACACCGAUUCUGAUCGCUUGUGGAGUCCCAAUCACAUCUGAUGGACUCGAGCCACGGGUAAUGGAUAUUAAGCAUCUACAUCACUUCGAAUUCCUAGAGUUCGCAAUGCUUGGCGAAAUGCACCGUUUCAAGUUUGAGCACUCUACGGAUAAGAGAGCCAACAUCCUUCUCCCCAGCCCAAGGUUACACGCAUAAUAGAGGGAGAAAACAUUAAUUUUAGGCCUGAGCUUGGGAACCUAUACAAUGAGGACGCUCCGCCAUUGGGUGAGGAUGAUCUUAUAGAAGAAGAAGCUGAGGAUGGGAUGGAUGAAGACAGAGAAGUGGAGCUUGACACUAGCAUAUAUCAUUGUAGUGAAUAUGUACCUCCAGCGAGGGAGAGCAAGAGCUUGAGUGUAACAACAACAAGCUACAGAAGUGGUGCAAGAAACAGGACAAGCUACUCGCCAAGUGCUUCAAAACUAUCAAGUUCCUAAUAGAUAAGUUGAGCUGCUCCUCUUCCACUACAGUUAUCCCACAGGGACACCCUCCUCUAGACAUGCCAUUGAAGAGAUUUGAUGAGCCUGAGCCAAGUCAACACAGGCCUGAGCCUAGUGAGCAGAGAGUCUCACAUGUCCUUGCUAGGCAUUUAUCAUUCGAGUCCCGGGAGCACAAGAGAAGAAGGAAGGCUACACUCGUUCGCUCUAGCAGCAAAUCACGCCUUAUACACUUGAGGAGAUCACUCGACCGUGGUGCUGGCCGCAGUAGAAGGAGAGAGGUCGAGUAUCCUCAGAGCGAUGUUGGCCGCCACAUAGUUGAUGGGGUCGAGUACCCACAUGCUGGAGCUGACACAGAACAGGGCGGCUCAUCUAUGGCCUGGGAGAAUUCACAAGCAGCCAUUGACGACCAACUCCGUUCAUUCUUCGACUGAGGUAAGCGCCUCACUUCACCAUUGUAUUAUAUCAUCUCUUGUGAUUUGUUCUUUAUUUUGUUUCUGUGAUUGGAUUUAUCCUGAAUACUCUCUUCCAUGUUUAGUCACACAGUGGAUUGUGUGAUUUAAGUUUGGGGGAGGGUUCAAGAAGUGAGUGUUGCAUUGUUUAUACUCUUGAGUCUGCACUCAUCUAAGGCAUAGAAAAACGAAAAAAAUUUUAAAAAAAUUCAAAAAAUGAUUUCACAAAAACUGAGUGUUCAUGUAGUUGCAUUACAUUUAGGAUCGAGUCUAGAAUGUUUCAUUUAAGAUUGUUGCAUAUGCAUAGGGGAUAAUGAUGAGAUAUUCUUGUAAGCAUUUUGGUUCACCGAAUAAACUCAGUGCCCUCGUUGCUAGUUAUUUGUUGCGUAGUCAGUGAAAUUGAAGUAAAACUGAACCAUGCCUAGAUUGCUCUACUCGACCACACUGUCAUGAUCUGAUGCAUUCCCUAUCAAUUUGAACCUUAAUCUAAUCUUUAACUAUCAUGUCUGCAUCAAAUUUGAACUCAUGUAUACCCUAAAAUACUUGGAUUUUCUUAUUCAUUUUGAUCACUCUUGUUAAUCCAAGUAGCUGACUCUCCUUAUUAGAGUAGUUAACCCGAGCCCAAACCUAGACUUUCUUUCAAGCCCUAUAUCACUUGUGAGUGUUUGUGAGGUCUUAUUCCGAUUAAGCUUGGUAGAAAGUGUUAGGUUCGUAACGAAAGAGAUAGUGUCUCAUGUAGUUCUAGUUCGCAUUUUCCGGACUAGAUAGGACUAGGUGGGCGCUUAUACUUUGGGUUUGGAUGUGUCUAAAAGAAAAAAAAAAAGGGUUGAUUCAUUGAUGAAAAAAGGUAAAAGACUCUAGGUGAAGUAAGCUAAAGAAGCAGAAAAAGUCUAGUAAAGGUUUUGGGAUUUGUAAAGAAAAGAAAGAGUUCUUGUUAGCUAUUGAAGAAGGGCAAAAGCCCUCGGUUUUAAAAUUCUAAAAACAGGAACCAUAGUUGUUAAAGAAAUCCAAAUCCGCUAGAUGUAUCAAAGUGUUGAGAAAGCUUCUCCUAGAGUUAAGAGAAAAUAAAAAAAUGAUUAGAAAAAGGGCUUAAAAGAUUCAUGAAGCCUAUUCUGUAAGGGACUAUCUUUGUCUCUUGACCUUUACCUUAGCCAAAUGAGGUCAUUGAUGAUGCAUUGUUUGAUUCACGUUCCAGAACUAAUAAAUGUUAAAGGGAUUGGUAGAUUUGAAAACAUGUGUAGGUCGAGCAUAAGAGUCGGAUUGAUUGAUAACAAGGCAUGGCUAACGUUUUUGAGUAGAAUUCGAUCAUAUCGCAACUUAGAACUAUCAACUUGGACAUUGAUUUCAUCUGAUUUAUCUGGUGCUUUGGCUCUGAGUCCCGGCCUUCAAACCUCACCUCCAGCUUGUUCUUAAUUGUUUACUUGAGGGCAAGCAAAGAUUAAGUUUGGGGGAGUUGAUAAGUGUGCAUUUUACAUAUUGUGAACAUCCAUUUGUUAUCACUAUUGCAUCAUAUCACCACUGAUUUAUACCAUUUCUCAUCAUUUGUCAUCACUUUGCAUGUUUAGGAUAGUUUUGCAUGUAUGAUGCAUAUUUGUGUUGUUUUUAGGUGAUUUGGAGCUGUUGGCGAGCUAAUUGGAAGAAGCGGACCUGAUCACUGCAAAACACUCGACCCCCUGGUAGAGUAGAUGGUUCCACGACUUCAACAAACCACUCGACCCCCUGGUCGAGUAGAUGGCCUCAUCACUUCACAUCACCACUCGACCCCCUGGUCGAGUACCACCAAGACAACCACUCGAUCACAUCACUCGACCCCCUGGUCGAGUAUCAUGACGUCCACCACAUCAACUUCACUCGAUCACACUACUCGACCACAUGGUCGAGUACCUACAUCACCUCCAGCUCAUCACUCGACCACCUAGGUCGAGUACCAUUCUUAAUUCGUCCCAAUACUGCAUCGUUUUGAGUAUUAGAUCCCUUCUGGGUUAGUUGUUCUUAAUGCCUAUUGCUUUCUGAUCAACUGGAAUUUGAGCCCAGACAUUUCCGCGCCCAAAAGGUGUUCGAUGAAAUGUUUGAACCACUAAUUACAGAGAUUUGUGGCUCUGUACCAAGGUAUUGGUUGCAGGGAGCGUUUUGGCUUUAACUUGUUGAUUCGUAAUGCCUAUUAGGUUAGCUCUCGUCAAUGGUGAUUGAGUAUGAGAUUGGUUUAACUUGAGAGUCUCUGUUGCGGUGGCACUUAGAUUUGGUUAUCGAACUUGUUGUCUAGGGAUAAUUUAUUGAGCAUGUCAAUCACCUAUAAACUGAGGAAACGAAACUACUCAAUUACCCCAUCCUCGGGAAUUUUGCAUCCAAUUGAUUUCUUUGUUAACUCUGCUAUUGUUUACUGCAUCUUGUUACUUGUUGCUUAGUUUUUGUAUUUUUCUCCUUUUACUCGACCUUAUACUCGACCACCCAGUUGUCUGGCAACAGACUGUGCAGUCGAGUAUCUCUGUUACAUUUUCUGUCUGUUACUCCACCUGUCACUCGACCACACCCAGUGAUUGGCAACAAGCUGUGUUGGUCGAGUGUUUUUACUGUUCUGCUUAAACUUCUGUUUUCUGAAUGUUCACUUAGGGCUGCUAGAACACACCCAAACCUAUUAUUGGUUGGCUUGACUCUGUGAACUCUGAUUGCAUCUUGAUUAUUAGCAUCACACUCAUUUGGAUUGACAACCUAAAAUACUACAACGACAUGAUUGGUGUUUUAGGAUAAUUGACUAAAAACCUAUUAUCACUGUGCUACAUUCAGAACCAAGGAGGGUUCAACAAGGGCUACAACAACUACAAGCCCAACCCAAACCUCUCCUACAGAAACACUAAUGUAGGUAACUCCCAAGAUCAAGUGUAUCCACCACAACAAAAUCACUCUAAGCCAUUUGUUAAGUACAACCAAGGUUAUGUCCCUAAACAAAA